CUACGGGGUGCUGCAGUAGGGAAUAUUGGACAAUGGGGGAAACCCUGAUCCAGCAAUGCAGCGUGAGUGACGAAGGCCUUAGGGUUGUAAAACUCUUUCAUCUGUGAGGAUAAUGACAGUAGCAGAAGAAGAAGGACCGGCUAAUUCCGUGCCAGCAGCCGCGGUAAUACGGAAGGUCCUAGCGUUGUUCGGAAUUACUGGGCGUAAAGCGCAUGUAGGCGGAACAAAAAGUUAGAAGUGAAAUCCCUGGGCUCAACCUAGGAAUUGCUUUUAAAACUUUUGUUCUGGAAUUCAGGAGAGGAAAAUGGAAUUUCCAGUGUAGAGUGGAAAUUCGUAGAUAUUGGAAGGAACACCAGUGGCGAAGGCGAUUUUCUGGACUGAUAUUGACGCUGAGAUGCGAAGGCAUGGGUAGCAAACGGGAUUAGAUACCCGCGUAGUC
rnacentral:rRNA from 1 species